UACAGAGACUGCAAGCGUUAUUCGGAUUCACUGGGCGUAAAGGGUGCGCAGGCGGCUGUGUGUGUGAGGCGUGAAAGCCCGGGGCUUAACCCCGGAAUUGCACCUCAAACUACAUGGCUAGAGCAUUGGAGAGGGUAGCGGAAUUCACGGUGUAGCAGUGAAAUGCGUAGAUAUCGUGAGGAACACCAGAGGCGAAGGCGGCUACCUGGACAAUUGCUGACGCUCAGGCACGAAAGCGUGGGGAGCAAAAGGG
rnacentral:rRNA from 1 species